GCUCCGCCGACUUCGUAUUAGGCAGGAGACACAAAUAGUACGGUUUAGGAGCUGUCCGUUGGAUUUAGGGAAGACGACAUCGGGGCCCUUCGUUCCCUCAUCCCACGACUCUCCCCAAUUCCAAACUCCUUUUCCCAACCCUAAUCUCCUCCCAUUUUCCUUUCGUUCGGUUUUGUUCUUACGACGCGUGAGGGGGAAAAAAAGGUGGUGUGCGAUCUGCUUCGUUUAUUACACAAAUGAAUUAGAUUACAGUACCGGAAUAAGGGGAUUCUCAAAAAGCGACAAAAUUCACAGGAAGAAAAAAGGCGCAAAGAGGUCAGGACAUCUGUCUCUAGGAAACCCCGACGUUGUAUACAUGAUCUUCACCUAAUUCUUUAGCUGUAACAAUUUUGGCGUGUGAGGCAUCUGAAAAGCACAUCCAUAAAUGAAGGAGAUGAAAGAUCUUUCUCAAUGAUACGGAAAGAACGAUAAUGUGGGAGGAAAAUAAAAGAGUACAACAUGGUUAGAUGUGAACACGAACAAGAAAAAUAAUAAUUAAUAGCUGGUUAAAUGUAAUUGGAAGCAUUCUACAGUGGAGAAAGCAGGAGGUUAAAGCAGCAACCCAAAUCUAAAUGCUAAUUUUUUAAAAAUAAAGUUGGACUCACCCACCCCCCUGCCCAAUUUUCCAUUGUCUUGUGCAGCUUAAAUUUAUUUGUUCCAUUAUUUAUUUAUUUAUUUAUUUGUUUGGAAUGCUUGAUUUCCACUCAUGCAAUAUUUUGACUGCUUCAA